rnacentral:rRNA from 1 species
UUAAGCGACUAAGCGUACACGGUGGAUGCCCUGGCAGUCAGAGGCGAUGAAGGACGUGCUAAUCUGCGAAAAGCGUCGGUAAGGUGAUAUGAACCGUUAUAACCGGCGAUGUCCGAAUGGGGAAACCCAGUGUGAUUCGUCACACUAUCGUUAACUGAAUACAUAGGUUAACGAGGCGAACCGGGGGAACUGAAACAUCUAAGUACCCCGAGGAAAAGAAAUCAACCGAGAUUCCCCCAGUAGCGGCGAGCGAACGGGGAGCAGCCCAGAGUCUGAAUCAGCUUGUGUGUUAGUGGAACGGUCUGGAAAGUCCGACGGUACAGGGUGAUAGUCCCGUACACCAAAAUGCACAGGUUGUGAACUCGAAGAGUAGGGCGGGACACGUGGUAUCCUGUCUGAAUAUGGGGGGACCAUCCUCCAAGGCUAAAUACUCCUGACUGACCGAUAGUGAACCAGUACCGUGAGGGAAAGGCGAAAAGAACCCCGGCGAGGGGAGUGAAAAAGAACCUGAAACCGUGUACGUACAAGCAGUGGGAGCACCUUCGGGUGUGACUGCGUACCUUUUGUAUAAUGGGUCAGCGACUUAUAUUCUGUAGCAAGGUUAACCGUAUAGGGGAGCCGCAGGGAAACCGAGUCUUAACUGGGCGUUAAGUUGCAGGGUAUAGACCCGAAACCCGGUGAUCUAGCCAUGGGCAGGUUGAAGGUUGGGUAACACUAACUGGAGGACCGAACCGACUAAUGUUGAAAAAUUAGCGGAUGACUUGUGGCUGGGGGUGAAAGGCCAAUCAAACCGGGAGAUAGCUGGUUCUCCCCGAAAGCUAUUUAGGUAGCGCCUCGUGAACUCAUCUUCGGGGGUAGAGCACUGUUUCGGCUAGGGGGUCAUCCCGACUUACCAACCCGAUGCAAACUACGAAUACCGAAGAAUGUUAUCACGGGAGACACACGGCGGGUGCUAACGUCCGUCGUGAAGAGGGAAACAACCCAGACCGCCAGCUAAGGUCCCAAAGUCAUGGUUAAGUGGGAAACGAUGUGGGAAGGCACAGACAGCCAGGAUGUUGGCUUAGAAGCAGCCAUCAUUUAAAGAAAGCGUAAUAGCUCACUGGUCGAGUCGGCCUGCGCGGAAGAUGUAACGGGGCUAAACCAUGCACCGAAGCUGCGGCAGCGACACUAUGUGUUGUUGGGUAGGGGAGCGUUCUGUAAGCCUGCGAAGGUGUGCUGUGAGGCAUGCUGGAGGUAUCAGAAGUGCGAAUGCUGACAUAAGUAACGAUAAAGCGGGUGAAAAGCCCGCUCGCCGGAAGACCAAGGGUUCCUGUCCAACGUUAAUCGGGGCAGGGUGAGUCGACCCCUAAGGCGAGGCCGAAAGGCGUAGUCGAUGGGAAACAGGUUAAUAUUCCUGUACUUGGUGUUACUGCGAAGGGGGGACGGAGAAGGCUAUGUUAGCCGGGCGACGGUUGUCCCGGUUUAAGCAUGUAGGCUGGUUAUCCAGGCAAAUCCGGAUAAUCAAGGCUGAGGUGUGAUGACGAGGCACUACGGUGCUGAAGUAACAAAUGCCCUGCUUCCAGGAAAAGCCUCUAAGCAUCAGGUAACAUCAAAUCGUACCCCAAACCGACACAGGUGGUCAGGUAGAGAAUACCAAGGCGCUUGAGAGAACUCGGGUGAAGGAACUAGGCAAAAUGGUGCCGUAACUUCGGGAGAAGGCACGCUGGUGUGUAGGUGAAGUCCCUGCGGAUGGAGCUGAGACCAGUCGAAGAUACCAGCUGGCUGCAACUGUUUAUUAAAAACACAGCACUGUGCAAACACGAAAGUGGACGUAUACGGUGUGACGCCUGCCCGGUGCCGGAAGGUUAAUUGAUGGGGUUAUCCGUAAGGAGAAGCUCUUGAUCGAAGCCCCGGUAAACGGCGGCCGUAACUAUAACGGUCCUAAGGUAGCGAAAUUCCUUGUCGGGUAAGUUCCGACCUGCACGAAUGGCGUAAUGAUGGCCAGGCUGUCUCCACCCGAGACUCAGUGAAAUUGAACUCGCUGUGAAGAUGCAGUGUACCCGCGGCAAGACGGAAAGACCCCGUGAACCUUUACUAUAGCUUGACACUGAACAUUGAGCCUUGAUGUGUAGGAUAGGUGGGAGGCUUUGAAGCGUGGACGCCAGUCUGCGUGGAGCCAACCUUGAAAUACCACCCUUUAAUGUUUGAUGUUCUAACGUUGGCCCCUUACCGGGGUUGCGGACAGUGUCUGGUGGGUAGUUUGACUGGGGCGGUCUCCUCCCAAAGCGUAACGGAGGAGCACGAAGGUUAGCUAAUCCUGGUCGGACAUCAGGAGGUUAGUGCAAUGGCAUAAGCUAGCUUGACUGCGAGCGUGACGGCGCGAGCAGGUGCGAAAGCAGGUCAUAGUGAUCCGGUGGUUCUGAAUGGAAGGGCCAUCGCUCAACGGAUAAAAGGUACUCCGGGGAUAACAGGCUGAUACCGCCCAAGAGUUCAUAUCGACGGCGGUGUUUGGCACCUCGAUGUCGGCUCAUCACAUCCUGGGGCUGAAGUAGGUCCCAAGGGUAUGGCUGUUCGCCAUUUAAAGUGGUACGCGAGCUGGGUUUAGAACGUCGUGAGACAGUUCGGUCCCUAUCUGCCGUGGGCGCUGGAGAAUUGAGGGGGGCUGCUCCUAGUACGAGAGGACCGGAGUGGACGCAUCACUGGUGUUCGGGUUGUCAUGCCAAUGGCACUGCCCGGUAGCUAAAUGCGGAAGAGAUAAGUGCUGAAAGCAUCUAAGCACGAAACUUGCCCCGAGAUGAGUUCUCCCUGAGACUUUAAGUCUCCUGAAGGAACGUUGAAGACGACGACGUUGAUAGGCCGGGUGUGUAAGCGCAGCGAUGCGUUGAGCUAACCGGUACUAAUGAACCGUGAGGCUUAACCUU